ACAGCAUUGUUUCGAUCUCUCCGAUAAUCUUUGUCUUUCUCAAUCUUUGUCAUUCUCAAUCUUUGUCGCUCUCACUCUUUCUCUGUUCUCUUCUACUUUCUCGAUCUUUAUCAUUCUCAAUCUCUCUUCCGAUGGAUUCACCAAAUCCUACUAAGAAAAGAAAGAUAGAGUUUUCCCCUUCGGCGCCAAAACCUAAUAAGAUAAGAAAGCUACCGUUUUUGGAUGAGAUUCCUCAAAUGCUCACAUUAUCACCUCGUCAUACUCCCUCACCAAUCAAAAAACGGUUGCAACUCAUGGAUGAAAUUAUUGAACUUGGUGAGAUGCGUUUAGAACUCUGUCGUCUCAUUAACAAAACCCAAGAAGCCAUGGAUGCUGAAAGAAAGAGAAAAGUCACAAUCUUGAUGUCAUUUAGAUAGUAACAACUCAUUCCUUUCAAUUGAUUUUGAGUUUGUGCAUCCUUGAUCAUCCGGCAGGUAUGUUAUUUUGAAUCAGUCAUCAGGUCAUUACAGGUAAUGUUCUUGUGUUUUCCUCUUAUUGAUUUGCAAGGUGGUUUCAUCUCUUAUGUUGUUGCAUUGCACUACCUGUUAUUUAACAAUUAAAUUGUCUAUCCCACUCAUUUCUUACAUAACUUCAGGUUGCAAUCAUAGAAAGUAAUUCACUCUAACUCUGUUGGUAACUUCUUCUGUUCUUUUUCCUUUUUCACAUACUUUCCAUAAAGGUCAGUGUCACUCUUUUAUGCUUAUUCCAUCAUGUCUUGCUAUUUUCCAUCUUUUGUUUAGUCUAAAAUGUUUUUCAUAGUGUCUUUUCAUGUCAUGAAUCUCACUGGAUUGUCAGAGUCUUUGCAGGAAGGUACCACGGGCACAACAUUGAUAUGCUCAUGUCGUGAAUAGAUCAAAAUUAGUCUUCAGGUCAUUACAGCUUUGAGGUUACAAAUGAAGGCGUUGACGCAACAGGGCAUUCAGUUGGUACAUCUUCGGAGGCUAAAUCUUCUGCCCAAGCAAACUGGUAGCUAAGAGAUAAGUAGUCAAGCUAAUUAGAGAAUGAGCAUCUGCUUAUACACAAUAGUUGGUGUACUAGUUUAUCAGAUAAUUCUUUUUUUUUUUCUAAUUGAUCUUUCAGACAAUAUCUUACUUAGAAUUUUUUCAGACAAUAUCUUACUUGAAUUAGACUUUAGAAUAAACUUACUUUUAAUAUUUAUUGAAUUUAGAAACUUAAAUUUUGAUAAAUGUAUGCAUAAACAGGUCCUAAUGAUGUGGAGUUUAUCAUUAACCAAGCUGAAGUUUCGAUAGAACGGUUAUAUUUUAUGGUUAAUCUUUCUCAAUUAUUAUCAUUUGAUUGUGCAUUGUUGGUUAUAUUUUUUUAUUUCCCAACAUUAUUUUGAAUCCAUAACUAACUUGAUCGUCGGAGGCUUUGCAGGUACCACACCCUUGCUAUGAUCUUGUCAUGAAUAUAUCAAAAUCAGUCUUGAGGUCAUUAAAGGUGAUGUUCUUCUGGUUGCCUCAUUUGACUUGCUUGUGCUCAACAUAAAAUGUGAAACCUUCUUGACUUGUCUUAGGGGCUUUUUGUUGGUCUUCUUGUAGUGAGCUUAAUUACUUUUCAAUGUUUACAUUGUUAAUGUUUUGUGAAUUUUGUAGGAAGAUAACUCGGAAGAGGUCGGUGAAUAUUAAAAUAGUUAUUAUCUAUUAUGCCGUUGAACUUACUGUGAUAGAACAAUUAAAUUGUUUUCCCGCUCAUAUCUUUCAUAUGGUAAUCCAUCAUGUUUCCGUUUAUGUUCUAUAUAAUGCAUACAUGCUAGAGGCAGUAACUGCACAAAUUUUCUGUACUUAAUUGAGUUAUUAUUGAUAAUUUCGUACUGGACCAUGUGAAAUUGUUGAAGAACUUUGCAGUUACUUGAUAUGAUUACAGUUGUAUGACUUGCAAAGUCAUUUUAUUGGGACUUCGGGUAAAGGACAUCCUUCAUAUUUUCUUAAGUGGUUUUCCUUCAAUGUGGUUGCAGGGAUUUGUCAUAGGCUCAGCUCAUUUUAAGGUAGUAUUUUGUUUUAUUUUCCAAAAUAAUUUUGAAUUCAUAACUAACUAGAUAGUCGGAGUCUUUGCAGGUACCACACCUUUGCCAUGCCAGUGUCAUUGACACGGGAGCCUGCUGGAACAUUGGAAAUGGCAGAGGGUGAAAAUGUUGGGUCACAACUAGUUCCUUCGGGAGAGCCAGCAUUUGAGGUUACAAUUGAAGGCGUUGACGCAACAGGGCAUUCAAUUGGUACAUCUUCGGAGACUAAAGCUUCUGCCCAAGCAAACUGAAAGCUAAGAGAUAAGUAGUCAAGCUAAUUAGAGAAUGAGCAUCUGCUUACACACAAUAGUUGUUGUACUAGUUUAUCAGAUUAUUCAUUUUUUUUUUCUAAUUGAUCUUUCAGACAAUAUCUUAGAAUUUUUUUCAGACAAUAUCUUACUUGAAUUAGCCUUUAGAAUAAAAUAAUAUUAAUGGACACAUUUAUUUCCAUCAAUAUUUUAUUUAUGUUACAUUUGUUGGGUAUAAAAUAAAUUUUGCUUUGAAUUAUGUAAAAUUAUGUAAGAACUCAAUUGAAUUUGCAGGUUGGUUUCUAUCAAUGGGUCACAUUUGAAGAGGCUUAUGAUGCUGUUAUCUGAAUCGGUUCCGCCAUGAAGAGCGGCAGUGUCAGUCCUGUGACUGUUGCGGCAUAAAUGGAUCCAAUUGUCCGGAAUGGAUGAUCACAACGGAGGUCCUAAUGCUGUGGAGUUUAUCAUUAACCAGGCUGAAGAUUUGGCAUAAAUCAGUACCAACUCAUUAUUUGUAAGAUAUCUUUGUUUCCCAACUUUCAUGCUUAUUACUUUGGGAGGCAAGAACCAAGUCAUUUUUUGAAAACCAGAAUUUCAUGCCUUCGGUUUUUGCCAACAAUGCUGAAUUUUUUAUCUAAGAAUUCAACAAAGCUAAUGAAAAAGAUGCCCCUUAAGCCUCCCAUGUACCUGCAGCUUCAACUUGGGGGGCUUCUCAAGAAAAUGAAUGUUGAUACAAAGUGAUUCCAUCGCUCCUAGGACCGGGUACUAUAAGUUAGUCCUUCGCUCUUAGAAGCUCGUUGUUUCUUCUUUCUUUUUUUUUAAUUCUUUAAGACAUAUGGCGUAAACAUCGUGUCCUCCUUCUGAGACGGGUUCCAAAAUUCCUGAAUGAUGGCGAUAUCAUCCAGAACUACCUUCUUUGACCUCUCUUCCUUUCCCAAAGAAAUCACCAUGUUUAAUUCCUUUAUUUCAUUCUUAACUGCUGGCUAUUGUAGUGUAUCAGUUUUAGUUUCCUGUUUUACCCUAAUGUUUGAUGACUCUAACACAGUAACACUUGAUCUGUUAAAUUAGUUUCUGAUGUAGGGGAGAUAUGAAUAAUAUCGUUGGAUGUCCAAGCCGCACUAAUUUUUGUCUUUGAAAUUCUUCCUUUGGACGACUUCCCAAAUCUCCAUUGUUUUCAGCUCAUCUAGAAUUCCCUGAAUACUAACACUAUCAGUUUCGUGAUCCUUAAAUUUUGGAUCAAUUUUCUCUUUACCCUCGAUCCUGACUUGUCGUUUAUAUCCCUCAUGCUGAUGAAGUUCUCUGCUGAAACCUUGUUGAUGUAUUAUUUGUGGAUCAUACUCAAUCUGUUGUGCCAUCCCUCUGAGAUGAGGUGGGGCAUGCUCCUGUUGUUUACUUGUUUCCUUACUUUCCUCCUUUGUAGCAGUUGUGUUGAGCUCCUGCUGUUGAUUUAUAACCUGCUGUGCAUUGUCUUGGAUCUGGUCUGAGUAAUUCUCCUGUUUUUGCAUUCCUGUUGAGUAUGAAUACUAUUGAUCUGCUGAUGUUGAUUUAUAUGUAGCACUGAGGUUCUCGAAUUCCGGCUCCUGGUGUUAAUUUGUGCCUUGUUGAAUUUUGGAUUCAUGUUGUGUAGUAUGACUAAUGCUCAACUGUUGUUGAUUUCUCUGUAACACUUCCUCUACCUGCUUACCAACAUCUUCGAUUUUCUCAAAAUCAUGCUCCUGGUAUAGAUUUGUGCCUUGUUGCUCAUUGUAUUCCUGUUACUUAGUAUAACUGAUGGUUUCUUGCUGGUGUUGAGUUAUACGUGCCACAUCCUCCACCUGUUUUGUAAAAUCUCUACUCAUCUCUAGAACAUGCUUAUGUUGUUGAUUUGUGUAUUUUUGGAUGUUGAACUUCUGUUGAUAGGAUUAUAUGUGUUGCUCUCAGCCUCUACCUGGUUUGCAGUGCUUGUGAUCUUCAAUAUAUAUAUAGUAGGCAACAUUGCGCUUGUGUAAUCUGUACUAGCAGCAUAGUGUAGUCUUACAAGUUCUUUACCAAUUUAUUUAUAUACCACAAAAACUAAUUCACAAAAUCAGUGAUUUUUGUUUGAGGAUUCUGCUCUAGCAUUUAAUCAAUGGUGAUUAUUAGUAUGUUUCACAACUCCAAAAUUGCACUUUGGCCUUUUCUACUCAAUUAAUCAUGCUUGUUGUUUUACUUUGGUAGAGGCCUGAUUAAUAUAACUGAAGAUGGAUUUGUGUAAGCUAUGUUUUUAAAACAUAUAAGCCAUUAUUCUAUGGCCUAACCAUUUCCUUGUGAUCCUUUUUGCUGUUUUUGUUCCCAGUCAGAUAAAUUGCACAAAUAUUGUUUUGAGCUAUCAAUGGCGAUUUCUUUUUUUAUACUGGUAAGGGUGGUUAUGUGCUUUGAUUUUGUGGAGUCCCAUCACCAAAUUGUGUUUGAUUUUUCUUGAGGAGACUGGCUAGUCCUACAAGAACUUCAGAAUUACUGGAUAUGAUUACAGAUGUAUGACUUCCAAAAUCAUUUUAUUGGGACUUUGGGUAAAAGAUAUCCUUCAUGUUUUCUGAAUUGUAGUUUUCCUUCAAUGUGGUUGCAGGGAUUUGUCGUUGCUCUCGGCUUUACUAGUUGACUUAAUAUACCAAUGCUUUGGAUAAUCUUUCUCAAUUAUUAUUUUUACUAUGCAAUUGUGAACUUGUCAUGAUCUGCUGGAGGAUAUCUAAGGUAGUAUGUUGUUUUAUUUCCCAAAAUGAUUUUGAAUUCAUUACUAACUUGAUCGUCGGAGUCUUUGCAGGUACCACACCUUUUUGCUAUGCUAAUGAGUAUGAUCAAACAUAAAGGAAAACCAACAUCUCAAAAACGUGGUAGGAAGUUUACCUUUGAUUUGGGCUGCUGGUUAUGCUUAAUAAGAUGUGGCAUAGAAAGACCAUAUUCUUAGACUUUAUAAGCGGGGGCAACGGUGAGUGAUACAUUCAAACUUGGGUAUUGGCAUAUGUGAAUGGGAAUGGAGAAUGGCCCUAUUUCAAUUUGAGGAGGAUGUGAUGGAGAGGAAAUGAGUUCAGCUGUGGAAACUUAGUACUGGUGGAAAGGAUGGGAAAUUACGCGUAAAUGCUCAUGUCGUGAAUAGAUCAAAAUUAGUCUUCAGGUCAUUACAGGGAGAGCCAGCAUUUGAGGUUACAAAUGAAGGCGUUGACGCAACAGAGCAUUCAAUUGGUACAUCUUCGGAGGCUAAAGCUUCUGCCCAAGCUAACUGAAGUCUAAGAGAUAAGUAGUCAAGCUAAUUAGAGAAUGAGCAUCUGCUUGCACACAAUAGUUGUUGUACUAGUUUAUCAGAUAAUUCUUUUUUUUUUUCUUUCUAAUUGAUCUUUCAGAAAAUAUCUUACUUAGAAUUUUUUCAGACAAUAUCUUACUUGAAUAAGCCUUUAGAAUAAAAUGAUAAUAUCUUACUUAGCAUUUAUAGUUAAUUAUACAUGAUUGAAUUAAUAUACCCUGUAACGGUUAUAUUUUAUGGUUAAUCUUUCUCAGUUAUUAUCAUUUGAUUGUGCAUUGUUGGUUAUAUUUUUUGAUUUCCCAACAUUAUUUUGAAUCCAUAACUAACUUAAUUGUCGGAGACAUUGCAGGUACCACACCCUUGCUAUUCUUGAGGUCAUUAAAGGUGAUGUUCUUCUGUUUGCCUCUUUUGAUUUGCUUGUGCUCAACAUAAAAUGUGAAACCUUUUCUUGAUUUGAAAACUUCUUGACUUGUCUUAGGGGCUUUUUGUUGGUCUUCUUGUAGUGAGCUUAAUUACUAUUCAAUGUUUACACUGUUAAUGUUUUGUGAAUUUUGUAGGAAGAUAACUCGGAAGAGGUCGGUGAAUAUUAAAAUAAUAGUUAUUAUCUAUUAUGCCGUUGCACUUACUGUGAUAGAACAGUUAAAUUGUUUUCCGCACAUAUCUUUCAUAUGGUAAUCAAUCAUGUUUCCGUUUAUGUCCUAUAGAACGCAUACAUGCUAAUGUUGAUGUUAUGAUAUUGAUUCUAUUUCAAUUAUUACUUCAUGAAUGGUCAUUUGAUUAUGUUUGAGUUUGGCUUUAGAUUAUUUCUUCCAUUGUUUUAUUUCAUUAUUUCAGGCCCCGCCAAGGGAGCAAAUGUAUGUGACAUUUUCCUUGUGUUAGGAGCUUUAAUUAAUAUACAUAAUUUAUGGAGGUAUAUAAUUAUUUCACUUUAUUGGCGGAGCUGUAGAGGCAGUAACUGCACAAACUUUUCGUACCUAACUGAGUUAUUAUUGAUAAAUUCAUACUGAACCAUGUGAAAUUGUUGAAGAACUUUGCAGUUACUUGAUAUGAUUACAGUUGUAUGACUUACAAAGUCAUUUUAUUGGGACUUUGGGUAAAGGACAUCCUUCAUAUUUUCUGAAGUGGUUUUCCGUCAAUGUGGUUGCAGGGAUUUGUCAUUGGCUCAACUCAUUUUAAGGUUCCAAAAAUAAUUAUGAAGAUGGAUUUGUGUAAGGUAUGUUUUUAUUAAAACAUAUAAGCCAUUAUUCUAUGGCCUAACCAUUUCCUUGUGAUCCUUUUUGCUGUUUUUGUUCCCAUUCAGAUAAAUUGCACAAAUAUUGUUUUAAGCUAUUUCUAGCACUUUGUUUUUUUAUACUGGUAAGGGUGGUUAUGUGCUUUGAUUUUGUGGAGUCCCAUCACCAAAAUUGUGUUUGAUUGUUCUUGAGGAGACUGGCUAGUCCUACAAGAACUUCACAAUUAGUGGAUAUGAUUACAAAUGUAUGACUUCCAAAAUCAUUUUAUUGGGACUUUGGGUAAAAGAUAUCCUUCAUGUUUUCUGAAUUGUAGUUUUCCUUCAAUGUGGUUGCAGGGAUUUGUCAUUGCUCUCAGCUUUACUAGUUGACUUAAUAUACCGAUGCUAUGCAUAAUCUUUCUCAAUUAUUAUUUUUACUAUGCAAUUGUGAACUUGUCAUGAUCUGCUGGAGGAUAUUUAAGGUAGUAUGUUGUUUUAUUUCCCAAAAUAAUUUUGAAUUCAUUACUAACUUGAUCGUCGGAGUCUUUGCAGGUACACCUUUUUGCUAUGCUAAUGAGUAUGAUCAAACAUAAAGGAAAACCAACAUCUCAAAAAUGUGGUAGGAAGUUUACCUUUGAUUUGGACUGCUGGUUAUGCUUAAUAAGCUGCUAGAGUGUUCAAGAACAGAAGUUGUCUUCGGUCUACCCUAAUGUAAGCACGGUCCGGUAUUCAACCCAUCUAUGAGUGGAUGAGUGUCAUUGACAUGGAGGCCUUCUGAAACAUUGGAAAUGGGCAGAGACAAGAAAUUUGGGCGACAACUGGUUCUCGGGUCAGGCUGAGUUUGAAGUGUGGAGUCAUGCCUCAAAUAUAAAUUUGGGGACCCCUAGUGAAUCAGCUAAUCGACGCUGAAGCAAACUAAUGGAAUAUAAAAUUUGAGAGCUUCCAACUUAGCAUUCUUAAGUAAUAGCUUUGGAGGUUGAAUUUAAAAAAACGAAGUUUGUGGUUUGGCAUAUUGGCAAUUAAACAUUGUGUGUAUGAUGACUGAGAAGGAACAAAAGAAGUGAUUUUAUUUAGCGGUAAGAUGUUAAAGAAAUUGAGAAAGGAACACAAGAUUUAAAUACUACUGGUGCUAGGCAAAGAUGUGGCAUAGAAAGACCAUAUUCGUAGACUUUAUAAGCGGGGGCAACGGUGAGUGAUACAUUCAAACUUGGGUAUUGGCAUAUGUGACAGGGAAUGGAGAAGGGCCCUGUUUCAAUGAGAGGAGGAUGUGGUGGAAAGGAUGGGAAAGUACUCGAUGCAGGAAGCAUAUGAUAAUUGGGGAAUGUGGGUAUAGUUGGAUAAAGUAAAUAUAGCAUGAAAAUUUGGCAUAAAUAAGUACCAACUCAUUACUUUGUAAGUAUCUUUGUUUCCCAGCUUUUAUGCUCAUUACUUUGGGGGCGAGAACCAAGUCAUUUUUUGAAAACCAGAAUUUCAUGCCUUCGGCUAUUGUCAGCAAUGCUGCAAAUUUUAUCUAAGAAUUCAACGAAGCUAAUGAAAAAGAUGCCCUUUAGGCCUCCCAUGUCCCUGCAGCUGCAACUUGGGAGGCUCCUCAAGAAAAUUAAUUUCGAUACAAGUUCUCUAGUGAUUCCGUCGCUCCUGGGACCGGGUAUUUCUUCGCUCCUAGAGGCUUGUCGUUUUUUUUUUUAAUUCUUUGAGCCAUAUGGCGUAAACGUCGUGUCCUCCUUCUGAGACGGGUUCCACGAUUCCUGAAUGAUGGCGAUAUCUUCCAGAACUACCUUCUUUGACCUCUCUUCCUUUCCUAAAGAAAUCACCAUGUUUAAUUCCUUUAUUUCGUUCUUAACUGCUGGCGGUUGUAGUGUAUCGGUUUUAGUUUCCUGUUUUAACCUAAUGUUUGCUGACUCUAACACACUGAUCUGUUGAAUGAUCUCUGAUGUUGGGGAGAUAUGGAUAAUUUCGUUGGACGUCCAAGCCGCACUUUUAGUCUUUUAAAAUCUUCCUUUGGACGACUUCCCAAAUCUCCAUUGUUUUCAGCUCAUCUUGAAUUCUCUGAAUACUAACAGUGUCAGUCUCGCGAUCCUUAAAUGUUGAAUCAAUUUUCUCUUUGUUCUUUGUUAGAUCUACCCAUUGUACCACCACUGUGAUAAUUCCACAUGCUUACUCUCGAUCCUAACUUGUCAUAUAUAAGCAAGGCAACAUUGCUCUUCUGUAAUCUGAACCUGCAGGAUAGUGUAUCACUCAAAACAACCUAAUAAAGUAGGGGAGCUUUUUGGUUGUUUUAGUUUGGUUUUAGUAGGAACUAACUUUUAACAAAUUAUUUUUUCAACAGGUCUUUAAUUUUGUAUGUUAGCUCAUUUCAAAAGCUCUAUAAAUAUAUGAUGAGAUUGACUCAAUUGAUUUAUUUAUUUAUAUAGCUAGAAGUAAAUAAAUUAUAUUUUGAAUUGAAUAAACUUAUAUUUAAUAAAUUAUUAAACAAACAUACAAGUAUUGGAGAAAAUAGUUUAGAUUGUUAGUUCUUGGGAUGUCAUAAGCUUUCGUAAUGAAACAUAAUUAAAAAUUAGUGUAGUAUUUCUUUGCUAGGUGGUUUUCUUUCAAGUUUUUUGUGGCAAAAUGGUGACUGUUGUGGCAUAAAUGGAUCCAAUUGUCCGGAAUGGAUAUUCGCAAUGGAGGUAUAGCACUUUAUCUCCGUAAGGAAAAUUACAGUUAAGGAACUAUAUUUAGUAUGUUAAAACAUGUUAGAAUAUGAUACAAUUAGCGUUAUUAAUUAUUGCAUUAGUACUUUAGUGAUUUGAUUCAGAAUUUGGUGUUUUCAGGUUUGUAACAGUGUGCAGUAACAUAUGUCCCAUUAUAUGACAAAAUCAGUCUUGAGGUCAUUAAAAGUGAUGUUCUUCUGGUUGCCUCAUUUGACUUGCUCCUGCUCAACAUAAAAUGUGAAACCUUCUUGACUUGUCUUAGGGGCUUAUUGUUGGUCUUCUUGUAGUGAGCUUAAUGACUUUUCAAUGUUUACACUGUUACUGUUUUGUGAAUUUUGUAGGAAGAUAACUUGGAAGAGGUCGGUGAAUAUUAAAAUAAUAGUUAUUUUCUGAACUGGUUUUCCUUCAAUGUGGUUGCAGAGAUUUGUCAUUGGCUCGGCUCAUUUUAAGGUUCCAAAAUAAUUAUGAAUUCAUAACUAACUAGAUCGUCGGAGUCUUUGCAGGUACCACACCUUUGCUAUGCUCAUGAGUAUGAGUGGAUGAGUGUCAUUGAGACGGGAGCCUGCUGGAAUGGAAUUGUUUGACACUAAUAUGUAAAGACUAUUUGCUCUUCUGUAAUUUAUUGAAAUCAGUGAAUUUUGUUUGAACUAUGUGAUUUCUUUGUACUAUCUACCAAUGCUCACAAUAGAUUAUGGUUUUGAAUUA